rnacentral:rRNA from 1 species
CCUACGGGAGGCAGCAGUGGGGGAUUUUGGACAAUGGGGGCAACCCUGAUCCAGCGACGCCGCGUGAGUGAUGAAGUAUCUCGGUAUGUAAAGCUCUGUCAGAAGGGAAGAAAGAAAUGACGGUACCUGAUCAAUAAGCCGCGGCUAACUACGUGCUAGCAGCCGCGGUAAUACGUAGGGGGCAAGCGUUAUCCGGAAUUACUGGGUGUAAAGGGAGUGUAGACGGUGAUGCAAGUCUGGAGUGAAAGGCGGGGGCCCAACCCGCGGACUGCUCAGGAAACUGUGUAACUUGAGUGCAGGAGAGGGAAGCGGAAUUCCUAGUGUAGCGGUGAAAUGCGUAGAUAUGAGGAGGAACACCAGUGGCGAAGGCGGCUUACUGGACUGUAACUGACGUUGAGGCUCGAAAGCGUGGGGAGCAAACAGGAUUAGAUACCCUAGUAGUC